rnacentral:tRNA from 1 species
GGACAGGUAGCUCAGUUGGUAGAGCAAUGGACUGAAAAUCCAUGUGUCGGCGGUUCGAUCCCGCCCCUGUCCAC